rnacentral:rRNA from 1 species
AUUGAACGCUGGCGGCAUGCCUUACACAUGCAAGUCGAACGGUAACAGGUUAAGCUGACGAGUGGCGAACGGGUGAGUAAUACAUCGGAACGUGCCCAGACGUGGGGGAUAGCUCGGCGAAAGCCGGAUUAAUACCGCAUGUGAUCUGAGGAUGAAAGCGGGGGACCGUAAGGCCUCGCGCGUUUGGAGCGGCCGGUGGCAGAUUAGGUAGUUGGUGGGGUAAAGGCUUACCAAGCCUACGAUCUGUAGCUGGUCUGAGAGGACGACCAGCCACACUGGGACUGAGACACGGCCCAGACUCCUACGGGAGGCAGCAGUGGGGAAUUUUGGACAAUGGGCGAAAGCCUGAUCCAGCAAUGCCGCGUGCAGGAUGAAGGCCUUCGGGUUGUAAACUGCUUUUGUACGGAACGAAAAGGCGCCUACUAAUACUGGGUGUUGAUGACGGUACCGUAAGAAUAAGCACCGGCUAACUACGUGCCAGCCGCCGCCGUAAGAC